rnacentral:misc_RNA from 1 species
GAUGAAGAACGUAGCGAAAUGCGAUAAGUAAUGUGAAUUGCAGAAUUCAGUGAAUCAUCGAAUCUUUGAACGCACAUUGCGCCCGCCAGUAUUCUGGCGGGCAUGCCUGUUCGAGCGUCAUUUCAACCCUCAAGACCCCUUCGGGGGACUUGGUGUUGGGGACCGGCACAGGGGCCUGCCUGCUUGUCUUGCAGCGCCCUCGCCGCCCCCGAAAUGAAUUGGCGGCCUCGUCGCGGCCUCCCCUGCGUAGUAGCACAACCUCGCAACGGGAACGUGACGGCGGCCACUGCCGUAAAACAACCCCAAUUUUAUUAGAGUUGACCUCGAAUCAGGUAGGAAUACCCGCUGAACUUAAGCAUAUCAAUAACGGAGGA